rnacentral:rRNA from 1 species
GUUGAACGCUGGCGGCAGGCUUAACACAUGCAAGUCGAGCGGAGAUGAAGUGCUUGCACCUUAUCUUAGCGGCGGACGGGUGAGUAAUGCUUAGGAAUCUGCCUAUUAGUGGGGGACAACAUUCCGAAAGGAAUGCUAAUACCGCAUACGUCCUACGGGAGAAAGCAGGGGAUCUUCGGACCUUGCGCUAAUAGAUGAGCCUAAGUCGGAUUAGCUAGUUGGUGGGGUAAAGGCCUACCAAGGCGACGAUCUGUAGCGGGUCUGAGAGGAUGAUCCGCCACACUGGGACUGAGACACGGCCCAGACUCCUACGGGAGGCAGCAGUGGGGAAUAUUGGACAAUGGGGGGAACCCUGAUCCAGCCAUGCCGCGUGUGUGAAGAAGGCCUUAUGGUUGUAAAGUACUUUAAGCGAGGAGGAGGCUACUGAGACUAAUACUCUUGGAUAGCGGACGUUACUCGCAGAAUAAGCACCGGCUAACUCUGUGCCAGCCGCCGCGGUAAUAC